rnacentral:rRNA from 1 species
UACGUAGGGUGCGAGCGUUAAUCGGAAUUACUGGGCGUAAAGGGUGCGCAGGCGGCGUCGCAAGUCAGGCGUGAAAUCCCCGGGCUUAACCUGGGAAUGGCACUUGAAACUACGAUGCUGGAGUAUGGCAGAGGGAGGUGGAAUUCCACGUGUAGCGGUGAAAUGCGUAGAGAGUGUGGAGGAACACCGAUGGCGGAAGGCAGCCUCCUGGGCCAAUACUGACGCUCAGUGCACGAAAGCGUGGGGAGCAAACAGG